rnacentral:pre_miRNA from 1 species
AAAAAGUUCGUUCAGAUCUUUCCAUAUAAUUGUAUAGAAAGCCCUGAAUGAACUUUUUGG